GCAGUGAGGAAUUUUGCGCAAUGGGGGCAACCCUGACGCAGCAACGCCGCGUGAGUGAAGAAGGCCUUUGGGUCGUAAAGCUCUGUCAACUGGGAAGAAAUUAUAAUUGUUUAAUAGAUGAUUGUAUUGACGGUACCAGUGGAGGAAGCGCCGGCUAACUCCGUGCCAGCAGCCGCGGUAACACGGGGGGCGCAAGCGUUAUUCGGAAUUAUUGGGCGUAAAGGGCGCGCAGGCGGUCUUGUCCGUCAGGUGUGAAAGCUCGGGGCUCAACCCCGGAAGUGCACUUGAAACAGCAAGACUUGAAUACGGGAGAGGAGAGAGGAAUUCCUGGUGUAGAGGUGAAAUUCGUAGAUAUCAGGAGGAACACCGAUGGCGAAGGCAUCUCUCUGGACCGAUAUUGACGCUGAGGCGCGAAGGCGUGGGUAGCGAACGGGAUUAGAUACCCCGGUAGUCCACGCAGUAAACGUUGUACACUCGGUGUGGCGGAUAUUAAAAUCUGCUGUGCCUAAGCUAACGCAUUAAGNGNACC
rnacentral:rRNA from 1 species